UGGGGAAUUUUGGACAAUGGGCGCAAGCCUGAUCCAGCAAUGCCGCGUGCAGGAAGAAGGCCUUCGGUUGUAACUGCUUUGUACGGAGCGAAAAGGCUCUCUCUAAUACAGGGGGCUGAUGACGGUACCGUAAGAAUAAGCACCGGCUAACUACGUGCC
rnacentral:rRNA from 1 species